rnacentral:rRNA from 1 species
UACAGAGGGGCAAGCGUUAUUCGGAAUUAUUGGGCGUAAAGGGCGCGUAGGCGGUCGUGCAAGUGGAAGGUGAAAUCCCUCGGCUCAACCGAGGAACUCGUCCUUCAAACUGCAUGACUUGAGUCCGGGAGAGGUGAGUGGAAUUCCCAGUGUAGCGGUGAAAUGCGUAGAUAUGCGGAGGAACACCGAUGGCGAAGGCAAUCCCCUGGGCCUGCACUGACGCUCAUGCACGAAAGCGUGGGAGCAAACAGG